CGCGGACUGCGGAUUCACGGUCCUCUACUAGAGACCAUCAGGGAACCUCGUGCGCGUCGUCCUCCCAUUGAAUUGAGCUAGUUUCGUGUAACCAGACCGCGCAUGCUCUAGUAGUCGUCGACCGUGCAUGCUUUCGAAUCGACGUGCAUGUGGUUGACGCGUGGGAGCUCCUGAAGAUCAAUUUCUUACUUCGCACGCUUGCUUCGCUGGUAAGGACGAUUCCUCGAGUUUGGUAAUACCAGUAGCAGUGAACAAGACGGUAGAUCUGUGUCUACAUCAGCUGUACUCUAAGUCUCUCGGCACGGCAAGAGCAGACGGUGCAUGUGAUUGCAAGCCAGGUGGUAUUUGUGAAUUGUAGACGUGCAUGGCCCAGUAUUGUUGUUAGUUGCUCUUUGCAGUAGUCGAGUCGUUGGUUUUGUACACUUAAAGCAGCUGUUUGUGGUUAUCUAGGCAUCAGGCCAGUGGCAUGUCUGGUAGCGAUCGAACAGCAGUCCAGUCACGGUUUGCUUGGUAGACAGACGCGUGAAAGUUUUUGUUCGGGUUUUGGUUUCUACUUUUGGAGUUCAACAUUCUAGUUUACUACCAAUGGAAUUAAUGAGGUUGCAAUGCAUGAGAUGAUCAUACAGACAGCAGUCCUGAAAAGUCUACGUUUUCAUGGUACAAUGCAGCAUAGCAGUCCUAAAGUGGGAAGUACAUCUAGAAAGACAGGGAAUAUUUACUGUAUUAGUGGCUGUUGGGAACUCGAUCUGCCUUUGGUGCUUUCUUGAUGGGCACACAAUAGCCUAUGCAACCUCCCCCACACUCAAAACACUAGACUUGUUUUGAAUCUGUGUCUAAGAUUGAUCGAUCGAUGCAUGGCAACUUCUGUGUGAUAUAGAAAUGUAUUAUAGUAUGGUACUCAUAUGUAUGAUUUUUUUCACGCCUGCUGAAGGCAUACAGUAUCCACAGUUAAUAAAGGACGUACAGAACUGUACAUUUAAAAUUUACACAGAGACACACACAAAAUAGAUAUUAUAAAAUGUGUUUUUGUUUAUUGUAUAUGAGGAAAAUAGUAAUGCUAGAUCACAGUCUCAAUCUUCGAUUAAUUUCCCUACCCUAGAUGACUUGCUGGUGCUUGCUUACAACCAUCGAUCCCUGUUACUGACGCAAUUAACUUACUAUGCAUUAAUUGCAUUGUAGUUGCUGUAAAUUUACUAGCUUCUUGCAACCACUCGCCAACCUUCUGUCACAGACACUGUACAGUAUAGAUAUCAUACUUAUCUAGGAAUUACGUAAUCACACAUGGACAAUCAGAAAAUUAUUAGUUGUAAUACACACAUUCCUAGGAUCUGUAUACACCAGAGAGGACCACUUUAGUUGAGCACAUUGGAAGA